GAUGAACGCUAGCUACAGGCUUAACACAUGCAAGUCGAGGGGCAGCGGUAUCGAAAGCUUGCUUUCGGUAGCCGGCGACCGGCGCACGGGUGAGUAACGCGUAUCGAACCUGCCUCAUACUCGGGAAUAGCCUUGCGAAAGUAAGAUUAAUGCCCGGUGUUUUCAGAGUCCCGCAUGAGGCUUUGAACAAAGAUUUAUCGGUAUGAGAUGGCGAUGCGUCCCAUUAGCUUGUUGGCGGGGUAACGGCCCACCAUGGCAUCGAUGGGUAGGGGUUCUGAGAGGAAGGUCCCCCACAUUGGAACUGAGACACGGUCCAAACGCCUACGGGAGGCAGCAGUGAGGAAUAUUGGUCAAUGGGCGGAAGCCUGAACCAGCCAAGUAGCGUGCAGGAAGACGGCCCUCCGGGUUGUAAACUGCUUUUAGUUGGGAAUAAAACGGGGCUCGUGAGCCCCCUUGCAUGUACCAUCAGAAAAAGGACCGGCUAAUUCCGUG
rnacentral:rRNA from 1 species